AUGAAGUCACCUAAAUUACAGGAACAGAAAAGCAAAUCAAGCAUAGUAGCAACUACAGAACGAAAACCAAUAUAUAGAAGAACAGCACAGGACACACCCAGACGACAGUGGUCACCCUUACUUCGCCUCCCUCUCACGAUUCCACUGUUCGAUCUUGGCCCUGCGCUCCUCGCUGUUCUCCCUCACAGGGCUUCUUGCACGCCUCGGAGGGCUGCCUCCAUACCUACGCCUUCCUCCAUCGUCGUGCCUUUCAUGCCUGCUGCUCCCACCCCUCCGUCCACCGCCGCCACCACCGCGACGGAAAUCAUCACGGCCACGAUAGUCAUCACGGUCACGACGCUCUCUCCUAUGGUGUGGGCUUGGGCUGCGGCUCCUUCCUCGUUGCGAUCUCCUGUAGCGCCCAAAGAGUUUCUUCCUGAGAUCCUUACCUAUCUGCUUCACAUGCAUGAAAUUGCAGUGCCCACCACGAGUGCAGGUGUUCUCCUCAUACUGCCUGCAGGUCGCUUCACGGAAGUCCGUCACAGGAGAGAAGUCAACAAUUAUUAG
rnacentral:rRNA from 1 species